rnacentral:lncRNA from 1 species
CCCACCCGUUUUUUGGCCAUUUUUCCGCUGGGGGGCCUUGGCGCCCCGACCUUCGGGGGCUAAUUUUUGGGCGCGGCUGUGACCGUGGCCUAUUUUUGGCACACGGAGGCCGCCCGCAAAGUCUGGGGCCAUUCCGAGUCCGGCGGACGAACUUCGCCCACGCCCCCAACCAGGCUAUAGCCCACCCGUUUUUUGGCCAUUUUUCCGCUGGGGGGUCUUGGCGCCCCGACCUUCGGGGGCUAAUUUUUGGGCGCGGCUGUGCCCGUGGCCUAUUUUUGGCACACGGAGGCCGCCCGCAAAGUCUGGGGCCAUUCCGAGUCCGGCGGACGAACUUCGCCCACGCCCCCAACAAGGCUAUAGCCCACCCGUUUUUUGGCCAUUUUUCCGCUGGAGGGUCUUGGCAACCCGACCUUCGGGGGCUAAUUUUUGGGCGCGGCUGUGUCCGUGGCCUAUUUUUGGCACACGGAGGCCGCCCGCAAAGUCUGGGGCCAUUCCGAGUCCGGCGGACGAACUUCGCCCACGCCCCCCGCCAAGGCUAUAGCCCACCCGUUUUUUGGCCAUUUUUCCGCUGGAGGGGCUUGGCGCCCCGACCUUUGGGGGCUAAUUUUUGGGCGCGGCUGUGCCCGUGGCCUAUUUUUGGCACACGGAGGCCGCCCGCAAAGUCUGGGGCCAUUCCGAGUCCGGCGGACGAACUUCGCCCACGCCCCCAACGAGGCUAUAGCCCACCCGUUUUUUUGCCAUUUUUCCGCUGGGGGGUCAUGGCAGCCCGACCUUCGGGCGCUAAUUUUUGGGUGCGGCUGUGCCCGUGGCCUAUUUUUGGCACACGGAGGCCGCCCGCAAAGUCUGGGGCCAUUCCGAGUCCGGCGGACGAACUUCGCCCACGCCCCCAACAAGGCUAUAGCCCACCCAUUUUUUGGCCAUUUUUCCGCUGGGGUGUCUUGGCGGCCCAACCUUCGGGGGCUAAUUUUUGGGCGCGGCUGUGCCCGUGGCCUAUUUUUGGCACACGGAGGCCGCCCGCAAAGUCUGGGGCCAUUCCGAGUCCGGCGGACGAACUUCGCCCACGCCCCCAACCAGGCUAUAGCCCACCCGUUUUUUGGCCAUUUUUCCGCUGGGGGGUCUUGGCGCCCCGACCUUCGGGGGCUAAUUUUUGGGCGCGGCUGUGACCGUGGCCUAUUUUUGGCACACGGAGGCCGCCCGCAAAGUCUGGGGCCAUUCCGAGUCCGGCGGACGAACUUCGCCCACGCUCCACGCCAAGGCUAUAGCCCACCCGUUUUUUGGCCAUAUUUCCGCUGGGGGGUCUUGGCGCCCCGACCUUCGGGGGCUAAUUUUUGGGCGCGGCUGUGCCCGUGGCCUAUUUUUGGCACACGGAGGCCGCCCGCAAAGUCUGGGGCCAUUCCGAGUCUGGCGGACGAACUUCGCCCACGCCCCCCGCCAAGGCUAUAGCCCACCCGUUUUUUGGCCAUUUUUCCGCUGGGGGGUCUAGGCGCCCCGACCUUCGGGGGCUAAUUUUUGGACGCGGCAGUGCCCGUGGCCUAUUUUUGGCACACGGAGGCCGCCCGCAAAGUCUGGGGCCAUUCCGAGUCCGGCGGACGAACUUCGCCCACGCCCCCCGCCAAGGCUAUAGCCCACCCGUUUUUUGGCCAUUUUUCCGCUGGGGGGUCUUGGCAGCCCGACCUUCGGGGGCUAAUUUUUUGGCGCGGCUGUGCCCGUGGCCUAUUUUUGGCACACGGAGGCCGCCCGCAAAGUCUGGGGCCAUUCCGUGUCCGGCGGACAAACUUCGCCCACGCCCCCCGCCAAGGCUAUAGCCCACCCGUUUUUUGGCCAUUUUUCCGCUGGGGGGUCUAGGCGCCCCGACCUUCGGGGGCUAAUUUUUGGGCGCGGCUGUGCCCGUGGCCUAUUUUUGGCACACGGAGGCCGCCCGCAAAGUCUGGGUCCAUUCCGAGUCCGGCGGACGAACUUCGCCCACGCCCCCCGCCAAGGCUAUAGCCCACCCGUUUUUUGGCCAUUUUUCCGCUGGGGGGUCUUGGCAGCCCGACCUUCGGGGGCUAAUUUUUGGGCGCGGCUGUGCCCGUGGCCUAUUUUUGGAACACGGAGGCCGCCCGCAAAGUCUGGGGCCAUUCCGAGUCCGGCGGACGAACUUCGCCCACGCCCCCAACAAGGCUAUAGCCCACCCGUUUUUUGGCCAUUUUUCCGCUGGGGUGUCUUGGCGGCCCAACCUUCGGGGGCUAAUUUUUGGGCGCGGCUGUGCCCGUGGCCUAUUUUUGGCACACGGAGGCCGCCCGCAAAUUCUGGGGCCAUUCCGAGUCCGGCGGACGAACUUCGCCCACGCCCCCAACCAGGCUAUAGCCCACCCGUUUUUUGGCCAUUUUUCCGCUGGGGGGUCUUGGCGCCCCGACCUUCGGGGGCUAAUUUUUGGGCGCGGCUGUGACCGUGGCCUAUUUUUGGCACACGGAGGCCGCCCGCAAAGUCUGGGGCCAUUCCGAGUCCGGCGGACGAACUUCGCCCACGCCCCACGCCAAGGCUAUAGCCCACCCGUUUUUUGGCCAUUUUUCCGCUGGGGGGUCUUGGCAGCCCGACCUUCGGGAGCUAAUUUUUGGUCACGGCUGUGCCCGUGGCCUAUUUUUGGCACACGGAGGCCGCC